GGCGAGGUCAGGUCAGGUCAAGUUAAGUUAGAUUAGGUCAAGUGAAGCCAUGUUAAGUUAGGUUGGGAUAGGUCAAGUGAAGCCAUGUUAGGUUAGGUUAGGUUACGUUAAGUUAGGUUAGGUUAGGGUAGAUUAGGUUAGGUUAGGUCAAGUGAAGCCGUUAUGAGUGAAAUGACUAAGGGAUAAGAAAUAAAUCUCGUGCUGCCUUCUAUCACUAUUUUCACCAUAACUGCUCUUCUGAUCUUGUUAACUGCAUGCCUCUCCUCCUCCCGUGGCCUCGCUGCACAACACUACUUUCUCUCGCCGCUGUUCUUUUCACCUCUCUAAUGCAAGAGUUAAGCAGUAUUUUUAUUCUUUCAUCCUUUUUCUGGUAAACUCUGGUGCACCCUGCCUUCUGUAUUUCCUCCCUGUUUUUUUUUUUUUUUUUUCUGUAGACUGGCACAUCACUUGCUUGUAGUAGUAGUAGUAGUAGUAGUGAGCUUUUGUUCAGUAAGACUAGGCUAUCGUACGAUAAUAGUAGGAUACGGUACGAUAAUGAUAAGACAUCGUACAGGAAUAACAGGCAAUCGUACAUUAACACCAAGCUGUCGUACUAUCAAACAGAAAAUAACAAUAACACAAUAUAAUAAUAAUGAUACAAAAUCUAAACUGAAUGAAGGAAAUUAAUACUUGUCAUUAUUAGUAGCCUAUGUUCUUGUCGGUGAUAAAUGCUUAGGCCUACGGUGUUUUGAUGGGAGCAUAGGCCUUCAUAAUUUAGAGUGAUGCAUUAGACGCGUUGUGAAUUAAAGCAAAAGUGAAUAGCGUGAGGUUAAAAUUAGGCUUCAAACUUAGAAAAUUAUAUUGACAAGAACCUGAAAUUACAGUAUAUAAGAAAAGUUGUAUUUUUGAGGCUGAGACAAAAGAAAAAAAAACAAGUUAAGAAAAUAUAUUAAGCUUGUUAGAAAUAAGAAGAAAUGCAUAUGAUAUAUAAAUAAGUGAUGAUUUUAAAUUGUGGUAAAUAAUAAUAAUGGAAUCUAAAAUGAAAUUAUAGUAUUAAAGAAAAAAAAAUCUGAGCCUGAGACAAAAAUUCGGUUAAGAAAAUAUAUACAUUAGGCUGAAGUAAAAAAAAUAGUAAGUUAAAACAGUGACAAAAAAAAAUAAAUAAAAAAGAUAAAUAAAUAAAUAAAUAAAAUAAAUAAAUAAGUAAAUAAAUAAAAAAAUAAUAGGGAUACAAGUUGUGGUAAGCAAAAAUGAUAUCAAUAGUUAAUAGGGGUAAUUAAGUAAUGAUUAGCCAGGCCACCCGUUAUUGGAACCUGGGCCAAGGGUAUACAGUUUUCAUAAUUACCCAUUUAACUUUACUUUUUUCACAGCCCAUAAGAAUUUUUAUUGUUUUGAAAUACUAGAGAAAAAUAUUACAUGCUAUUGUAUAUUAGAAUAUACUGGAAGAUUGCAAUAAUAAUAGGAAGAAUUAUAGUAACAAAAAAAUCACAGGAAAACAAAAUUAAUGGAAAAAAAGAGUAAUUUCUGUUGAUAUAUUAAAAAAAACAAUAUAUAUAUUUUUCCAGUAAUUUCUGAAUACUGGAAAACUGGAAAGUAUCGUAUUAUUAAAUGUUCCCCAAAAUUGUCGUACAUGGCAGGCGGCCUUCCCUGAGUUUGCUUUGGUGGAGUAAGUGAGACAAAUCAGCGAUCAUCGGCGUCUGUACACAUUCCACCACCUUCUAGAAGGAUGAAAGGAGCGAGCAACGGAAUGGUAAUGUAUUAUUAUUAUUAUUAUUAUUAUUAUUAUUAUUAUUAUUAUUAUUAUUAUUAUUAUUAUUCGAACCGGUUGUGAAGCUUCGUUUUUUUUUGAAGCGCUUCGAAAUUCUAGAGAGAGAGAGAGAGAGAGAGAGAGAGAGAGAGAGAGAGAGAGAGAGAGAGAGAGAGAGAGAGAGAGAGAGAUUGCUUUUUUAACAUUUAAUUAUGACCUCGUUUGACUACUACUACUACUACUACUACUGCAUCAUCUCCGUGGUACUAGCAGUAGAUUCUUAAGCUUAUUAUCUUAUCUGCGCUCUAAAGGAAGAUAACACUCAAACCCGCGUGAGAGAGAUGGGGUGGUGGUGGUGGUGGUGGUGGUAAUAAGUGAUGCAAGAAUGGUGGUGGUGAUGGUGGUGAUGGUGGUGGUGAUGGUGGUGAGGGAGUCGAGAGUAAUUUUAAAGAGGUAAUUUUACAAGAGAGAGAGAGAGAGAGAGAGAGAGAGAGAGAGAGAGAGAGAGAGAGAGAGAGAGAGAGAGAGAGAGAGAGAGAGAGAGAGAGAGAGAGAAUAAAUCAAUAAGGGACAAUGAUAAUAAUGUUAGGAAAGUAAAGUCAGAGAGAGAGAGAGAGAGAGAGAGAGAGAGAGAGAGAGAGAGAGAGAGAGAGAGAGAGAGAGAG